GUGCACCGAUGAGAUAGUUUUACAACUGACCUUUGCAACUAUGAAGUUUUCUAUUCCUGUGCCAAGAUCA
ensembl:snoRNA